rnacentral:rRNA from 1 species
AAAUUGAAGAGUUUGAUCAUGGCUCAGAUUGAACGCUGGCGGCAGGCCUAACACAUGCAAGUCGAACGGUAACAGGAAACAGCUUGCUGUUUCGCUGACGAGUGGCGGACGGGUGAGUAAUGUCUGGGAAACUGCCUGAUGGAGGGGGAUAACUACUGGAAACGGUAGCUAAUACCGCAUAAUGUCGCAAGACCAAAGAGGGGGACCUUCGGGCCUCUUGCCAUCGGAUGUGCCCAGAUGGGAUUAGCUAGUAGGUGGGGUAACGGCUCACCUAGGCGACGAUCC